AAGCUACCUAUAUAUAGCACCAUCUCAUAGUUUUAUUAGCAUUGAAGUUGGCUGUAGAAGGAAGCCAUAUUUGGAGAAGUAGACAUGGUGUGAUAUUGGUCCGGCUCGUCUCAAAAGAUAUGAUCAGAUGAGCCGAACCAAUAUCACUCGUGUAUGCUUCUCUGCAUAAUAUUGCUCUUCGAUCGUAUGCCGCUUGAUCAUGCAUGCAUGGUAUCUCUAGAAUCCGCGGAAAUGUACGUAUGAACAAAAAAUGGUUGCAGAAAAACAUGAUCUGCAUGUCCUCAUGUUUGUAGGAAGAGAGAUUCUCCAGCAUGAGGGGAAAUGGCUUCCUUUUGGCCGUGAUUGUAAUCUUGGGGGUAAUAUGUACUGAAUCUGCAGUAUUUCUGA